UACGUAGGUCCCGAGCGUUGUCCGGAUUUAUUGGGCGUAAAGCGAGCGCAGGUGGUUUAUUAAGUCUGGUGUAAAAGGCAGUGGCUCAACCAUUGUAUGCAUUGGAAACUGGUAGACUUGAGUGCAGGAGAGGAGAGUGGAAUUCCAUGUGUAGCGGUGCAAUGCGUAGAUAUAUGGAGGAACACCGGUGGCGAAAGCGGCUCUCUGGCCUGUAACUGACACUGAGGCUCGAAAGCGUGGGGAGCAAACAGG
rnacentral:rRNA from 1 species